AAAAAAUACAAUUGUGCUUUUUUUUUUUACCUAACCAGACCCAUUAAAACAUUUAACUACCGUAUAUAAUCGUCUAUAAGUCGAUCUCGUGUAUAAGUCGAGUGCAGUUUUUUGAUCAACAAUUGUGAAAUAUGCUAUGACUCAUGGAUAAGUCGAGGGUACGACUUUCGAAUGAAAUUGUUCUUCUCUUUGGUUACCGAACAGACUCUGUGUGGUCCCUCUUCCUCAU